UAGUUGCUAUGAUGUUGGCCCGGUUCACUCAGAAUUCACCAGCAAGCCAAAGAAGAGGGCUUUACGUACUCUGUUCUGAUUGAGCCGCGCCAAUAUCUUAGUAUCUUUU
rfam:Musa acuminata subsp. malaccensis Doubled-haploid Pahang (DH-Pahang) genomic chromosome, chr1